CUCUCUCCUCCUUGUUGUGGCGAUGGUGGUUGAGCAUGUUACCAGCACAUGUGAAGCUUCAUAAAGGAUUUCAGAGCCUGGCAUGGACAAAUAACCUUAAGGUAACUUGUGAUCUCGGCACUUACAGUUGGCUGUCUCUGAUUUUCAGCAUGCAUAUUUAGAAAUGUACUUUAAUGAGUGUCAUUCAUGCAGAGUUAAAUUGCAUUAAGAUUUGAAAUUAUUUACUGCUCAAACAGAAUAUGAGCACCUGUACUGGGUAAUAAUUCAUAGAUUGAAAUUGUCUGAAUUGUAUAUGAACUGUGAAUUUCACUAAAGA